rnacentral:rRNA from 1 species
CCUACGGGAGGCUGCAGUGAGGAAUAUUGGUCAAUGGGCGCGAGCCUGAACCAGCCAAGUAGCGUGAAGGAUGACUGCCCUACGGGUUGUAAACUUCUUUUAUAAAGGAAUAAAGUGAGGCACUUGUGCCUUUUUGUAUGUACUUUAUGAAUAAGGAUCGGCUAACUCCGUGCCAGCAGCCGCGGUAAUACGGUGGAUCCGAGCGUUAUCCGGAUUUAUUGGGUUUAACGGGAGCGUAGCUGGGUUGUUAAGUCAGUUGUGAAAGUUGGCGGCUAAACCGGGCCGGCCGUUGAAACUGGGGAGCUUGAGUGUGCGAGAGGUAUGCGGAAUGCGUGGUGUAGCGGUGAAAUGCAUAGAUAUCACGCAGAACUCCGAUUGCGAAGGCAGCAUACCGGCGCCCGACUGACGCUGAGGCACGAAAGCGUGGGGAUCGAACAGGAUUAGAUACCCGAGUAGUC